UACGGGGGGGGCAAGCGUUGUUCGGAAUUACUGGGCGUAAAGGGCUCGUAGGCGGCCAACUAAGUCCGACGUGAAAUCCCCAGGCUUAACCUGGGAACUGCGUCGGAUACUGGUUGGCUUGAAUCCGGGAGAGGGAUGCGGAAUUCCAGGUGUAGCGGUGAAAUGCGUAGAUAUCUGGAGGAACACCGGUGGCGAAGGCGGCAUCCUGGGUCGGUAUUGACGCUGAGGAGCGAAAGCCAGGGGAGCAAACGGG
rnacentral:rRNA from 1 species